CUCUGAUGUGUAUCUUUCUAGCUUAAAACUAACAAGUUUGUUUGUGUUCCGUGGUGUAUAAGUUAUAAAUGGCACAAAGUCGAAAAACGUUUGGGAGAAAAACAGCCGCUCGGAAGAUGUUCUAAGAAGCUACAUACAAACACAACUUUACGGCGAGCAAUUUGAUGAAACUUUAAAUCAGCAAAUAUCAAUCAAAAUUAAAUGUU